ensembl:lncRNA novel transcript
CAGGAUGGUCUCAAUCUCUUGACCUCAUGAUCUGCCACCUUGGGCUCCCAAAGUGCUGGGAUUAUAGGCACCACGCCUGGCCCUAAUCUCUUCUCAAAGUACUUUUUUCUUUAAUGAAUGUCUUAAAUAAAAACUUUUUUCUAACCACAAACUUUUUUUUAAAUUAUUUUAUUAUGUAAUUUUUUUUUAGAGAGUUGGUCUUGCUGUUUGGACCCGGCUGGAGUGCAGUGAUAUUCACAAGUGUGAUCUUAGUGCAUGAGAGCUUCAUAUUCCUGGGCUCACAAUCCUUCUACCUCAGCCUGCCAAGUAGCUGUCACUACAGGUACCAGCUGCUGUGCCUGGCUUCCACCUUUUUUUUUUUUUUUUCUUUAAUCAGUUCCUUUUAAAGACCAAAGAAAACCUGUCCUCUUGUGUGGCCUGAGUUGAUCUAUGAACAUUAUUCACUAUGACCCAGAAAAUCCCACGAAGUCGUGCAUGUUAGAAGGAUGAAACCCUCAUGUUCACUGUAAACUGUGAAGGUGCUCAGGCCAUCACAGGUAUGCCUAUAUGAAAAGCCACCAAGUAUCUGAAAUAUUUUCUUUUACAGAAAUUAUGUGUACCAUUUCAGUCUUAGAAAGUGGAGUUGGUCGCUGUACGCAAGACAGACAUUGGGGCUGGACUCACCAUCAGUGGCCCCGAAAAGGUACUGAAAUUUGCUUACAAGUGCAGAGUUAUGCUGAACUUAAGGGUAUAGAUGUAGAUUCCCUGGUUAUUGAGCACAUCCAGGGAAAAGGCACCCAUAAUGUACCACCUGACUUACAGAACUCAUGGGCAGAUGAACCCAUCCACAAACUCCCCUGCCACAUCCAGAUGAUGCUUAGUGAAAAGAAACACCUUGUUCCAAAAGCAGAAAAGGAGGAUGCACGGAAGAAAAAGAUACCCCAGAAGAAACAUAAACUUAAGAGACAAACAAAUUCAGCCAAAAGAAAAUGCAAAUAAAAGUUCAAAACAAAACAAAACAAAAAAACCUCUAAAAUUCAUAAAACACAAAAUGACAAACUCUAUUAAAUAUGCCCCUAUGAUAUCUCUUAGAUAAAAGUUGGCCGUAAUAGAGAAAAUGAAGAUAGGUGUUGGUGACUGGCAGAUUCUGGGUCUACGAUGAAUCAGAGAAGGAUGGUUUUCACUUUGUUUUACAUUUUUUUAAUGCUUGAUGUUGACUUGGUAGAAAGAUGAUAAUAAAGAGAUUCUUCUGUCUAUGUGUUUCUUUUAGAUUACUCAUGUGGACUGAAGAAAAAAAAUUAAAUUUGUUAAAGAAAGUGAGUUUGAUUUAGGAUUGUGACUGAGGACAAUAGCCUGGAAGCAGUUCUGACAGAUGGCUGCUAUGUAAUAUUUUGGUUCACAGUUUAUAAGAGACAUGUGGGCCCUGUGCUCUAUCUUGUUUUUUCUUCAAAGCAUAAUUCUGGAGAGCUGGAGAGUCCCAGAGUCAGGAAUGUUAUAAAGUCAGGCUGGAAACCAGAAAUAAGUAACAUGACUAAACA